rnacentral:rRNA from 1 species
AUGAACGCUAGCGACAGGCUUAACACGAUGCAAGUCGAGGGGUAACAGGGUAGCAAUACCGCUGACGACCGGCGCACGGGUGAGUAACGCGUAUGCAACCUGCCUAUAACUGGGGAAUAGCUCCCUGAAAGGGGAAUUAACACCGCAUAACACUAUUGAUUCGCAUGGAUUGGUAGUUAAAUGUAGCGAUACAGGUUAUAGAUGGGCAUGCGUGACAUUAGCUAGUUGGUGAGGUAACGGCUCACCAAGGCUACGAUGUCUAGGGGUUCUGAGAGGAAGGUCCCCCACACUGGUACUGAGACACGGACCAGACUCCUACGGGAGGCAGCAGUGAGGAAUAUUGGUCAAUGGGCGCAAGCCUGAACCAGCCAUGUCGCGUGCAGGAAGACUGCCCCUAUGGGUUGUAAACUGCUUUUAUAGUAGAAGAAACACAUCUACGCGUAGAUGUCUGCCAGUAUACUAUGAAUAAGCAUCGGCUAACUCCGUGCCAGCAGCAGC